ensembl:lncRNA
UUUUUUUUUUUUUUUUUUUUUUUGAGACAGGGUGUCACUAUGUCACCAAGGCUGGAGUGCAGUGGCACCGCCAUAGCUUACUGCAGUCUUAACCUCCUGGGCUCAAGCAAUCCUCCCACCUCAGCUUCUCAAGUAGCUGGAACUACAGGUCUGUACCAUCACACCUGGUUACUUUUCGUUUUGUUUUGUUACUGGUCUUGAACUCCUGGCUUCAAGUGACCCACCUGCCCCAGCCUCACAAAGCUCUAGGAUUGCAGGGGUUUGCUGCCAUGCCCAGCCUUGACUGCAUAUAGUAAUUCAUCUUUUAAGAUUCAUUCCAUGAUUUUUUCCUCUCUGCUAUCUUCAUCAAACUCCUCAAAACACACAGGAUACUUUGAAUUGAAACAAUGAAGUCAAACUGUUUCUGAUUUAAAGUAAAUCUGAUUUGUCUAGUUUGACAAUGAAAAUGGGCUGUUUAUUAGGUUAUAAGGUAAACAUUUAACAUACUUUCAAAUCUUUUUUUUUUCUUGUUUUUGAGAAGGGUCUCACUCUGUCCCUCAACCUGGAGUGCAGUGGCCCCAUCAUGGCUCACUGCACACUUGACUUCCUGGGCUCAGGUGAUCCUCCCACCUAAUCCUCCCAAGUAGGUAGGACUACAGAUGCCCGGCACUACACCGCCUAAUUUCUUUUAUUUUUUUGUAGAGGUGGGGUCUUGCCAUGUCACCCAGGCUGGUCUUGAACUCUGGACUCAAGCGAUCCUCCUGCCUCAGCCUCCCAAAGGGCCAGGAUUACAGGCGUGAGACACUGUGCCCAGUGACAAAGAUUUUGAACUUGAAUGAGCUAAAUCUGCAGUUGCAAAUUUUGACAAAAACAAAAUUUAACCACCUGAUAACAAAAAUAAAUCUUAUCCAAAACUAUUUAUGAAAUGAACAAUGUUUAGAUAUUCUCCACUCUUUCAGCAUAUCGGGUGAAAGGUACAUCUCAUUGAAAAAAUCAGGUCGAAUUCAUAGUCAUUUGGUAUCUUGGUAAAACCUAUCUGGUAUAUUUCCCAGAAUCUGAAAAAGUGAAAAAAUAAGGAUUAAGUAAACAAAUCCUUUGGUGAGUCAGGUGGUUUUCGGUUCUUUGCUUCUGAUAAAAAGGAAGGAGGGCCUAAUUGAAGUCAGCUCAUAUUUUUUGAAGUCAACCAAUUUUUUGAGGUCAAGAAUUGAAUGAUAUUGCUACAACAAAACUCUUCCAUUCCUAGGCACAGUACUUGUUUAUAUUAGCAAGGUUUCUCAGGGCACACAGCUAUAAAAAUUACAAAUAGGAAUAGAAUUGAUGCUCAACCUUUUUUCUCCUACUAAUAAGACAUAUUCAGCCACAGAUGUAGGAACUCUUAAAAGCAGCAAUAUGCAUUUUUCAAUAAAAUUACAUAUACUAUUUAAUAAUUAUGAAAUUUUCUAAUAUUUAUGUUGCUUUGACCAGGUACUACUAACAAUUUCAAGGAUGAUGCAGUCCUAAAGCAGGUGAUUUGCUAGCUGUGUAACCUUAUUCAACACACUUCAUUUAUCCGGGCCUUGGUUCCCUGAUUUGCAAAUUGGGGAUAGUAAUCGGACCUAGCUCUUAGUGUUUGUCCAAAGAUUAAAUAAGUUAAUAUAUGUAAAAGCACUUAACGCCACGCUUGGUACGUAAUAUGUGCUAUGGAUGUUUUACCGGCUAUAAUCAUAGUAAUCAAUAGCAAAAAGCCUAAAACCAAAAGCCUGUCGGUUUGUCUUCACACAUAGGAAGAAGGGGCUGGAGGGAUCCGGACUAAUCCACAGGCACACUGCCAGAAACAAGGGACUCCCAAGGGAAAACGGGAUGUGCAAGCAGAAGAGAGACAGAAGGACCGUGGAGCUACCUGCUGGGACAAGAAUAGUGCAGUUUCACAGGCUAAGAACGACGAGGGUUGGGCGAGUUUAGAAUGAGCAGAUCCACGUAGGGUUCGAAUUAUACAUGUCUAUGGAUCUCUAUGCACUGCUCCGGGAAACAGGAGCAGAGAGGCAGGCCUAAAAUGCCGUCGCGGAUGAAGCGGGGCCAGAACUUCACUGCUCCCGCUCCGACCGAGGGCCCCAGGUGUCGCGCGGGUCGAAGCCCUAACCUCCGGGGACUCCAGACCCCAGCCAGUGACCCAAACCCCACAACUCGCGGCCAGCACAGCCUUCUCGUCUCCGUCGCCACAGUCGCCGCCACUUCCGGCGCACCUCGGCCUC